UGGGGAAUAUUGGGCAAUGGGCGCAAGCCUGACCCAGCCAUGCCGCGUGAGUGAUGAAGGCCUUAGGGUUGUAAAGCUCUUUUAGUCGUGAAGAUGAUGACUGUAGCGACAGAAAAAGCCCCGGCUAACUUCGUGCCAGCAGCCGCGGUAAUACGAAGGGGGCUAGCGUUGUUCGGAUUUACUGGGCGUAAAGGGCACGCAGGCGGCCAAACAAGUCAGAGGUGAAAUCCCAGGGCUCAACCCUGGAACUGCCUUUGAAACUGUUUGGCUAGAGACCGAGAGAGGUGAGUGGAAUUCCUAGUGUAGAGGUGAAAUUCGUAGAUAUUAGGAGGAACACCAGUGGCGAAGGCGGCUCACUGGCUCGGUACUGACGCUCAUGUGCGAAAGCGUGGGGAGCAAACAGG
rnacentral:rRNA from 1 species